UACGGGGGGGGCAAGCGUUGUUCGGAAUUACUGGGCGUAAAGGGCUCGUAGGCGGCCAACUAAGUCGGAUGUGAAAUCCCCAGGCUUAACCUGGGAACUGCAUCCGAUACUGGAUGGCUUGAAUCCGGGAGAGGGAUGCAGAAUUCCAGGUGUAGCGGUGAAAUGCGUAGAUAUUCGCAAGAACACCAAUGGCGAAGGCAGCUCGCUGGGACGUGGACUGACGCUGAGACGCGAAAGCGUGGGGGAGCAAACAGG
rnacentral:rRNA from 1 species